rnacentral:rRNA from 1 species
GAUGAACGCUGGCGGCGUGCUUAAUACAUGCAAGUCGAACGAAGACAGUAGCAAUAUUGUCUGAGUGGCGAACGGGUGAGUAACGCGUUGGUGACCUGCCCCGAAGAGAGGGAUAACAGUCCGAAAGGAUUGCUAAUACCCCAUGUGGUCGUUUGGAUUAGAUGCCUUAUGACUAAACGGAUUUAUUCGCUUCGGGAGGGGCCUGCGUCCCAUCAGCUAGUUGGUAGGGUAAUGGCCUACCAAGGCGAUGACGGGUAGGGGACCUGAGAGGGUGGCCCCCCACAAUGGAACUGAAACACGGUCCAUACACCUACGGGUGGCAGCAGUAGGGAAUAUUGGUUAAUCUGGGAAACCGGGAACCAGCAACGCCGCGUGCACGAUGAAGGCCUUCGGGUUGUAAAGUGCUUUUUGAAAGGAUGAGGAAGGACAGUACUUUCAGAAUAAGCUUCGGCUAACUACGUGCCAGCAGCCGCCGUAAAAC